GAUUCCACUGUCCCUAUCUACUAUCUAGCGAAACCACAGCCAGGAACGGCUUGGGCAGAAUCAGCGGGGAAAGAAGACCCGUGUUGAGCUUGACUCUAGUCCGACUUUGUGAAGAGACAUGAGAGGUGUAGUAUCGGUGGGAGCGUCAGCGACUUUGAAAUACCACUACUUUUUAUCGUUUCUUUACUUAUUCAGUGAAGCGGGAGCGGCCUUCACGCGGAGCUUUCGUUUGGUGUUAAACGGCUGGCCCUCGCGGCGGGCCGUGACUGCUCUGAAGAACAGUGUCAGGGCGGGGAGUUUGACUGGGGCGGUACAUCUGUCAAAAGGUAACGCAGGUGUCCCAAGAUGAGCUCAGUCAGGACAGAAACCUGGCGUAGAGCAAAAGGGCAAAAGCUCAUUUGAUUUGAGAUUUUCAGUACGAAUACAGACCGUGAAAGCGCGGCUAUCGAUCCUUUGAUUAAAUCAGAGUUUGAUGCAAGGGGGUGUCAGAAAAGUUACCACAGGGAUAACUGGCUUGUGGCGGCAAAGGCGUUCAUAGCGACGUCGCUUUUUGAUCCUUCGAUGUCGGCUCUUCUAUCAUUGUGAAGCAGAAUUCACCAAGCGUUGGAUUGUUCACCACCAAUAGGGAACGUGAGCUGGUUUUAGACCGUCGUGAGGACCAGGUUAGUUUUACCCUACUGAUGUCUUGUCGUUGCUAUGGUAAUCCUGCUUAGUACGAGAGGAACCGCGCAGGUUCAGACAUUUGGUUUAUGUGCUUGGUCGAAAGACCAAUGGUGCGAAGCUUACCAUCUGAGGGAUUAAGACUGAAAGCCUCUUAAGUCUGAAUCCCGCCCAGAAAUGCAACGAUACUAUCGGUGCCCUACGCCGGGAGGCAACGAUAUACUCGCCCCGAAAUCCGAUUUCGGCGGCCGAGACUGGCUAAAGCCACUGCGAAUACUGGCCAACCACCCCCUGUCUUGAAAUUUGGCAGUGGAGGCACAGACACGAUACCACUUGAUUGAGACGUAGGGGUUCUAUAUCGUUUUGUAGACGACUUAGAUCUCGGUCGGGGUGCCGUACUUAGUUGAGCAGUUCUUCACUGGCGAUCUAUUGAGGCUAAGCCUUUUGACGGGGAGAUAUGU
rnacentral:ncRNA from 1 species